GCCCACCAAGGCAACGAUCAGUAGGGGUUCUGAGAGGAAGGUCCCCCACAUUGGAACUGAGACACGGUCCAAACUCCUACGGGAGGCAGCAGUGAGGAAUAUUGGUCAAUGGGCGGAAGCCUGAACCAGCCAAGUAGCGUGCAGGAUGACGGCCCUAUGGGUUGUAAACUGCUUUUAUACAGGAAUAAAGUUAGCCACGUGUGGUUAUUUGUAGGUACUGUAUGAAUAAGGACCGGCUAAUUCCGUGCCAGCAGCCGCGGUAAUACGGAAGGUCCAGGCGUUAUCCGGAUUUAUUGGGUUUAAAGGGAGCGUAGGCCGUCUGUUAAGCGUGUUGUGAAAUGUAGAUGCUCAACAUCUGAAUUGCAGCGCGAACUGGCAGACUUGAGUGUGCGCAACGUAGGCGGAAUUCGUGGUGUAGCGGUGAAAUGCUUAGAUAUCACGAAGAACUCCGAUUGCGAAGGCAGCUUACGGGAGCACAACUGACGCUGAAGCUCGAAACGUCGGGUAUCGAACAGGAUUAGAUACCCUGGUAGUCCGCACGGUAAACGAUGGAUGCUCGCUGUUGGCCCACCUGGGCCAGCGGCCAAGCGAAAGCAUUAA
rnacentral:rRNA from 1 species